rnacentral:rRNA from 1 species
UACGUAGGCAGCAAGCGUUGUUCGGAAUUACUGGGCGUAAAGAGUGUGUAGGUGGUGUCGUAAGUUUGGUGUGAAAUCUCCCGGCUUAACUGGGAGGGUGCGCCGAGGACUGCGAUGCUGGAGUAUGGGAGAGGAAAGCGGAAUUCCUGGUGUAGCGGUGAAAUGCGUAGAUAUCAGGAGGAACACCUGCGGUGUAGACGGCUUUCUGGACCAUUACUGACACUGAGACACGAAAGCGUGGGUAGCAAACAGG